rnacentral:rRNA from 1 species
ACUAAGCGUACACGGUGGAUGCCCUGGCAGUCAGAGGCGAUGAAGGACGUGCUAAUCUGCGAUAAGCGUCGGUAAGGUGAUAUGAACCGUUAUAACCGGCGAUUUCCGAAUGGGGAAACCCAGUGUGAUUCGUCACACUAUCAUUAACUGAAUCCAUAGGUUAAUGAGGCGAACCGGGGGAACUGAAACAUCUAAGUACCCCGAGGAAAAGAAAUCAACCGAGAUUCCCCCAGUAGCGGCGAGCGAACGGGGAGCAGCCCAGAGCCUGAAUCAGUGUGUGUGUUAGUGGAAGCGUCUGGAAAGGCGCGCGAUACAGGGUGACAGCCCCGUACACAAAAAUGCACAUACUGUGAGCUCGAUGAGUAGGGCGGGACACGUGGUAUCCUGUCUGAAUAUGGGGGGACCAUCCUCCAAGGCUAAAUACUCCUGACUGACCGAUAGUGAACCAGUACCGUGAGGGAAAGGCGAAAAGAACCCCGGCGAGGGGAGUGAAAAAGAACCUGAAACCGUGUACGUACAAGCAGUGGGAGCACGCUUAGGCGUGUGACUGCGUACCUUUUGUAUAAUGGGUCAGCGACUUAUAUUCUGUAGCAAGGUUAACCGAAUAGGGGAGCCGAAGGGAAACCGAGUCUUAACUGGGCGUUAAGUUGCAGGGUAUAGACCCGAAACCCGGUGAUCUAGCCAUGGGCAGGUUGAAGGUUGGGUAACACUAACUGGAGGACCGAACCGACUAAUGUUGAAAAAUUAGCGGAUGACUUGUGGCUGGGGGUGAAAGGCCAAUCAAACCGGGAGAUAGCUGGUUCUCCCCGAAAGCUAUUUAGGUAGCGCCUCGUGAAUUCAUCUCCGGGGGUAGAGCACUGUUUCGGCAAGGGGGUCAUCCCGACUUACCAACCCGAUGCAAACUGCGAAUACCGGAGAAUGUUAUCACGGGAGACACACGGCGGGUGCUAACGUCCGUCGUGAAGAGGGAAACAACCCAGACCGCCAGCUAAGGUCCCAAAGUCAUGGUUAAGUGGGAAACGAUGUGGGAAGGCCCAGACAGCCAGGAUGUUGGCUUAGAAGCAGCCAUCAUUUAAAGAAAGCGUAAUAGCUCACUGGUCGAGUCGGCCUGCGCGGAAGAUGUAACGGGGCUAAACCAUGCACCGAAGCUGCGGCAGCGACGCUUAUGCGUUGUUGGGUAGGGGAGCGUUCUGUAAGCCUGUGAAGGUGUGCUGUGAGGCAUGCUGGAGGUAUCAGAAGUGCGAAUGCUGACAUAAGUAACGAUAAAGCGGGUGAAAAGCCCGCUCGCCGGAAGACCAAGGGUUCCUGUCCAACGUUAAUCGGGGCAGGGUGAGUCGACCCCUAAGGCGAGGCCGAAAGGCGUAGUCGAUGGGAAACAGGUUAAUAUUCCUGUACUUGGUGUUACUGCGAAGGGGGGACGGAGAAGGCUAUGUUGGCCGGGCGACGGUUGUCCCGGUUUAAGCGUGUAGGCUGGUUUUCCAGGCAAAUCCGGAAAAUCAAGGCUGAGGCGUGAUGACGAGGCACUACGGUGCUGAAGCAACAAAUGCCCUGCUUCCAGGAAAAGCCUCUAAGCAUCAGGUAACAUCAAAUCGUACCCCAAACCGACACAGGUGGUCAGGUAGAGAAUACCAAGGCGCUUGAGAGAACUCGGGUGAAGGAACUAGGCAAAAUGGUGCCGUAACUUCGGGAGAAGGCACGCUGAUAUGUAGGUGAAGCGACUUGCUCGUGGAGCUGAAAUCAGUCGAAGAUACCAGCUGGCUGCAACUGUUUAUUAAAAACACAGCACUGUGCAAACACGAAAGUGGACGUAUACGGUGUGACGCCUGCCCGGUGCCGGAAGGUUAAUUGAUGGGGUCAGCGCAAGCGAAGCUCUUGAUCGAAGCCCCGGUAAACGGCGGCCGUAACUAUAACGGUCCUAAGGUAGCGAAAUUCCUUGUCGGGUAAGUUCCGACCUGCACGAAUGGCGUAAUGAUGGCCAGGCUGUCUCCACCCGAGACUCAGUGAAAUUGAACUCGCUGUGAAGAUGCAGUGUACCCGCGGCAAGACGGAAAGACCCCGUGAACCUUUACUAUAGCUUGACACUGAACAUUGAGCCUUGAUGUGUAGGAUAGGUGGGAGGCUUAGAAGUGUGGACGCCAGUCUGCAUGGAGCCGACCUUGAAAUACCACCCUUUAAUGUUUGAUGUUCUAACGUUGACCCGUAAUCCGGGUUGCGGACAGUGUCUGGUGGGUAGUUUGACUGGGGCGGUCUCCUCCUAAAGAGUAACGGAGGAGCACGAAGGUUGGCUAAUCCUGGUCGGACAUCAGGAGGUUAGUGCAAUGGCAUAAGCCAGCUUGACUGCGAGCGUGACGGCGCGAGCAGGUGCGAAAGCAGGUCAUAGUGAUCCGGUGGUUCUGAAUGGAAGGGCCAUCGCUCAACGGAUAAAAGGUACUCCGGGGAUAACAGGCUGAUACCGCCCAAGAGUUCAUAUCGACGGCGGUGUUUGGCACCUCGAUGUCGGCUCAUCACAUCCUGGGGCUGAAGUAGGUCCCAAGGGUAUGGCUGUUCGCCAUUUAAAGUGGUACGCGAGCUGGGUUUAGAACGUCGUGAGACAGUUCGGUCCCUAUCUGCCGUGGGCGCUGGAGAACUGAGGGGGGCUGCUCCUAGUACGAGAGGACCGGAGUGGACGCAUCACUGGUGUUCGGGUUGUCAUGCCAAUGGCACUGCCCGGUAGCUAAAUGCGGAAGAGAUAAGUGCUGAAAGCAUCUAAGCACGAAACUUGCCCCGAGAUGAGUUCUCCCUGACCCUUUAAGGGUCCUGAAGGAACGUUGAAGACGACGACGUUGAUAGGCCGGGUGUGUAAGCGCAGCGAUGCGUUGAGCUAACCGGUACUAAUGAACCGUGAGGCUUAACC